rnacentral:rRNA from 1 species
AUUGAACGCUGGCGGCAGGCCUAACACAUGCAAGUCGAGCGGAUGAAGGGAGCUUGCUCCUGGAUUCAGCGGCGGACGGGUGAGUAAUGCCUAGGAAUCUGCCUGGUAGUGGGGGAUAACGUCCGUAAACGGGCGCUAAUACCGCAUACGUCCUGAGGGAGAAAGUGGGGGAUCUUCGGACCUCACGCUAUCAGAUGAGCCUAGGUCGGAUUAGCUAGUUGGUGGGGUAAAGGCCUACCAAGGCGACGAUCCGUAACUGGUCUGAGGGGAUGAUCAGUCACACUGGAACUGAGACACGGUCCAGACUCCUACGGGAGGCAGCAGUGGGGAAUAUUGGACAAUGGGCGAAAGCCUGAUCCAGCCAUGCCGCGUGUGUGAAGAAGGUCUUCGGAUUGUAAAGCACUUUAAGUUGGGAGGAAGGGCAGUAAGUUAAUACCUUGCUGUUUUGACGUUACCAACAGAAUAAGCACCGGCUAACUUCGUG